rnacentral:tRNA from 1 species
GCCAACGUGGCGCAGUGGUUACCGCGACGGAUUGCUAAUCCGUUUUCUCGCAAGGGAUCCCCCGGUUCAAAUCCGGGCGUUGGCG